AUUGAACGCUGGCGGCAUGCCUAACACAUGCAAGUCGAACGCGUGGCGGACGGGUGAGUAAUGUCUGGGAAACUGCCCGCUGGAGGGGGAUAACUACUGGAAACGGUAGCUAAUACCGCAUACCAUCGGAUGUGCCCAGAUGGGAUUAGCCAGUAGGUGGGGUAAAGGCUCACCAAGGCGACGAUCCCUAGUUGGUCUGGGAGGAUGACCGGCCACACGGGAACUGAGAAACGGUCCAGACUCCUACGGGCGGCAGCAGUGAGGAAUAUUGCACAAUGGGAGCAAGCCUGAUAAAGCAAUGCCGCGUGAAUGAAGAAGGCCUUCGGGUUGUAAAGUACUUUCAGCGGGGAGGCGUUACCCGCAGAAGAAGCACCGGCUAACUCCGUGCCAGCAGCCGCGGUAAUUC
rnacentral:rRNA from 1 species